UAGACACCACAGUUUAUCAAAUCACUUACAAAAGUCUCUGGUUUCUCUAUAUAAUGCAACAGCUCUUUGGUGGUUGGAUCAGCAACCAAUUCACCAAAUUGGUUGGCUGAUUCAGCAGAAACCUUGAUUACUAACAUUGUUCCCAUACCACUGUAUUUUUGAUGUGCCUCAAGCAUAUCUGGCAAAGGAAAACUACAGCAAACAUCACAGUUCAACAGAAAGAUAUGCGACGGACUAUCUUCAAUGAUUAUGUCUCUAAAAUAAUAAAGACCACCAGCAGAACCAUGCGGUUUGUCCUCCUUCAAGUAUCUUAUUCCUUCAAGUAUCUUACAGGUACUUUGAGUUCAUUAGAGAUUGAAGACACAUAUAAAGUAAAUUCCCGCUCCUCAUAGAAUCCAAUUAGGAAAAUCCGAGCCAAAUUAGGUAUCCUUUUACAAGCAGAAAUGUGAUGGUGAACCAUAGGCUGCCCAGCCAAAGGGAACAAGGGUUUUGGAGUAUUGAAUGAGAGAGGCCUAAAUCUAGUACCUUUGGUAGGUCCACCGACCAUGAUCACGGCAACCACCUUCUCAGAAUCCGCCAUUGCCAAAACCCUGACUGAAACCCAAAG
rnacentral:misc_RNA from 1 species